rnacentral:rRNA from 1 species
UACGGAGGGUGCGAGCGUUGUCCGGAAUCAUUGGGCGUAAAGCGCGCGUAGGCGGCCAGAUAAGUCCGGUGUGAAAGUCACAGGCUCAACCUGUGAAUGCCGCUGGAAACUGUCCGGCUUGAGUCCGGAAGGGGCGAGUGGAAUUCCUGGUGUAGCGGUGAAAUGCGCAGAUAUCAGGAGGAACACCGGUGGCGAAGGCGGGGUCUCUGGGCAGUAACUGACGCUGAGGAGCGAAAGCGUGGGGAGCGAACAGG